rnacentral:rRNA from 1 species
UACGGGGGGGGGCAAGCGUUGUUCGGAAUUACUGGGCGUAAAGGGCGCGUAGGCGGUUUGCUAAGUUGGAUGUGAAAACUCUGGGCUUAACCCAGAGCCUGCAUCCAAAACUGGCAAACUUGAGUACUGGAGGGGAAAGCGGAAUUCCUGGUGUAGCGGUGAAAUGCGUAGAUAUCAGGAGGAACACCCGUGGCUAAGGCGGCUCUCUAGUACGGUACUGACGCUGAGACGCGAAAGCGU